UACGAAGGGUGCAAGCGUUACUCGGAAUUACUGGGCGUAAAGCGUGCGUAGGCGGUUUGUCGCGUCUGCUGUGAAAACCCGAGGCUCAACCUCGGGCCUGCAGUGGGUACGGGCAGACUAGAGUGCGGUAGGGGAGAUUGGAAUUCCUGGUGUAGCGGUGGAAUGCGCAGAUAUCAGGAGGAACACCCAUGGCGAAGGCAGCAAACUGGUCCGUAUCUGACGCUGAGGCGCGAAAGCGUGGGGAGCAAACAGG
rnacentral:rRNA from 1 species